UACGGAGGGUGCAAGCGUUAUCCGGAUUUAUUGGGUUUAAAGGGUGCGUAGGCGGCCUGUUAAGUCAGUGGUGAAAGUCGGCAGCUCAACUGUCGAAUUGCCUUUGAUACUGGCAGGCUUGAAUGAAGUUGAAGAGGGCGGAAUGUGACAUGUAGCGGUGAAAUGCAUAGAUAUGUCACAGAACACCGAUUGCGAAGGCAGCUCUCUAAGCUUGUAUUGACGCUGAUGCACGAAAGCGUGGGGAUCAAACAGGAUUAGAUACCCUGGUAGUCCACGCCGUAAACGAUGAUCACUCGCUGUUGGCGAUACACAGUCAGCGGCCAAGCGAAAGCGAUAAGUGAUCCACCUGGGGAGUACGAUCGCAAGGUUGAA
rnacentral:rRNA from 1 species